AAGAAAGUCAUAGAGGUUAUGAGAUUGGCUUGAAACUAGUCCUUGGGGGUUCGAUUCCUUCCUUUCUUG
rnacentral:tRNA from 1 species